GAUGAACGCUGGCGGCGUGCUUAACACAUGCAAGUCGAACGGAAAGGCCCUGCUCUUGUGGGUUUCUCGUUUGGCGAACGCGUGAGUAACACGCGUGUAUCCUGCCCCUGUCUUUGUGAUAACUUCAGGAAACUGGGGCUAUUACCGGAUAGAAUCUCCUGCUGCAUGGUGGUCGUUGGAAAGUGUCGGCGGUUGUGGAUGUACUCGCGGGUUAUCCGCUGCAUGGUCGAGUAGGUGCUGACCAAGCUUUCGACGGCUAGCCUGCCUGAGAGGGUGACCGGCCACAAUGGGACUAAGGGACGGACCAGAAUGGUACGGGACGCAGCAGGGGGGAACAUUACACAACGACCGGAAGCCUGAUGCAGCGACGCCGCGUGCGGGAUGACGGCUUUUGAGUUAUAAACCGCUUUCGCCUGAGACGAAGAGUGCGUGACGGUAAUGGGUAAAGAAGCAACGGCUAACUACGUG
rnacentral:rRNA from 1 species